CCCCCCCCCCCUCCCCAUAACGUGUCCCUUUCGAGUACUGGUGUUCCCCCAUAACGUGUCCCUUUCUCGUGCUGGUGUUCCCCCAUAACGUGUUCCUUUCUAGUGCUGGUGUUCCCCGUGAGUCUCUUUCUAGUUCUGAUGUUCCCCAUAACGUGUCCCUUUCUAGUGCUGGUGUUCCCCCAUAACGUGUCCCUUUCUAGUGCUGGUGUUCCCCCAUAACGUGUCCCUUUCUAGUGCUGGUGUUUCCCCAUAACGUGUCCCUUUCUAGUGCUGGUGUUUCCCCAUAACGUGUCCCUUUCUAGUUCUGAUGUUCCCCCAUAACGUGUCCCUUUCUAGUACUGGUGUUCCCCCAUAACGUGUCCCUUUCUCGUGCUGGUGUUCCCCCAUAACGUGUCCCUUUCUAGCGCUGGUGUUUCCCCAUAACGUGUCCCUUUCUCGUGCCCAUGGUGCCCAUCAUGAGUCCCUUUCUCGUGCUGAUGUUCCCCAUGAGUCUCUUUCUCGUUAUGUUGUUCCUCAUGUGUCCCUUUCUCGUGCUGAUGUUCCCCAUGAGUCUCUUUCUAGUUCUGAUGUUCCCCAUAACGUGUCCCUUUCUAGUGCUGGUGUUCCCCCAUAAGGUGUCCCUUUCUAGUGCAAAUGGUCCCCAUCAUGUGUCCCUUUCUAGUGCUGGUGUUCCCCAUAAUGUGUCUCGUGCUGAUCUGAUCCCCCCCCCCCCCCCCCCCCCCCCCCCCCCCCCCCCCCCCCCCCCCCCCCCCCCCCCCCCCCCCCCCCCCCCCCCCCCCCCCCCCCCC
rnacentral:lncRNA from 1 species